UCAUGUGUUUAGUAUUUAUAAACAACAGCUGUCUACAUUGUUUUGCAUAAUCUGAGGCGUUCUCAAAAGGUGACCGAUGUGAUUGUGGCGAGCAUCUUGAUAAGAACAUGAACCGAAGGCCCGCUGUGUGUUUGAAUGGGCACCUGCCGAUGAAGCUUGCACCCCUGAAUGGGCCUAGACCAUAUUUCAUCAACGUACCCUUUGCACCCAACUGCAGCCCAUUAGGAAGCCACUUCGUUUAGUGUGGCCGAGGCCCACGGAAGUAGCACGUUGAGAUCUUGCUACGCCCUUCCCCUCCCUUCCCUCUCCCUCUUCUCUUCUGCCCGCCGCCAUUCUGCUCUGGCGCUGUGGAGCGCCGCGGAGCCCUUUCCCUUCCCGACCUCGCGCCUCAGGCUUUUGUGAUGCCAUCUUGGUUUUGAAGACAUCUACGCAGGUUGAGAACUCCUAUAUUGAUCGAUCGCAGGACAGGACGCGCAGUCGACUUUGGAGCUUUGAAGAUCGGCCAGUAUGUCUCCAUCCAUCGAGUCGACGAUUGGCUUCUCGCGGCGGUUUCUUAAUCUGAUUGUGGGCAACCGUACUCCUGGUGUCAAAUCGC